rnacentral:rRNA from 1 species
UACAGAGGGGGCAAGCGUUGUCCGGAAUCACUGGGCGUAAAGGGCGCGUAGGCGGCUCGGUCAGCGUGCGGUGAAAGCCCGGGGCUCAACCCCGGGUCGGCCGUGCGAACUGCUGGGCUGGAGCACUGUAGAGGCAGGUGGAAUUCCGGGUGUAGCGGUGGAAUGCGUAGAGAUCCGGAAGAACACCGGUGGCGAAGGCGGCCUGCUGGGCAGUGGCUGACGCUGAGGCGCGACAGCGUGGGGGAGCAAACAGG